GGGCGGCGGGGUGCUAUACAUGCAAGUCGAGCGAACUGAUUAGAAGCUUGCUUCUAUGACGUUAGCGGCGGACGGGUGAGUAACACGUGGGCAACCUGCCUGUAAGACUGGGAUAACUUCGGGAAACCGAAGCUAAUACCGGAUAGGAUCUUCUCCUUCAUGGGAGAUGAUUGAAAGAUGGUUUCGGCUAUCACUUACAGAUGGGCCCGCGGUGCAUUAGCUAGUUGGUGAGGUAACGGCUCACCAAGGCAACGAUGCAUAGCCGACCUGAGAGGGUGAUCGGCCACACUGGGACUGAGACACGGCCCAGACUCCUACGGGAGGCAGCAGUAGGGAAUCUUCCGCAAUGGACGAAAGUCUGACGGAGCAACGCCGCGUGAGUGAUGAAGGCUUUCGGGUCGUAAAACUCUGUUGUUAGGGAAGAACAAGUAUGAGAGUAACUGCUCGUACCUUGACGGUACCUAACCAGAAAGCCACGGCUAACUACGUGCCAGCAGCCGCGGUAAUACGUAGGUGGCAAGCGUUAUCCGGAAUUAUUGGGCGUAAAGCGCGCGCAGGCGGUUUCUUAAGUCUGAUGUGAAAGCCCACGGCUCAACCGUGGAGGGUCAUUGGAAACUGGGGAACUUGAGUGCAGAAGAGAAAAGCGGAAUUCCACGUGUAGCGGUGAAAUGCGUAGAGAUGUGGAGGAACACCAUUGGCGAAGGCGGCUUUUUGCUCUGUAACUGACGCUGAGGCGCGG
rnacentral:rRNA from 1 species